UAGGGAAUCUUCGGCAAUGGACGAAAGUCUGAUCGAGCAACGCCGCGUGAGUGAAGAAGGUUUUCGGAUCGUAAAACUCUGUUGUUAGAGAAGAACAAGGACGUUAGUAACUGAACGUCCCCUGACGGUAUCUAACCAGAAAGCCACGGCUAACAACGUGCCAGCAGCCGCGGUAAUACGUAGGUGGCCAGCGUUGUCCGGAUUUAUUGGGCGUAAAGCGAGCGCAGGCGGUUUCUUAAGUCUGGUGUGAAAGCCCCCGGCUCAACCGGGGAGGGUCAUUGGAAACUGGUAGACUUGAGUGCAGAAGAGGAUGGUGGAAUUCCAUGUGUAGCGGUGAAAUGCGUAUAUAUAUGGAGGAACACCAGUGGCGAAGGCGGCUCUCUGGUCUGUAACUGACGCUGAGGCUCGAAAGCGUGGGGAGCAAACAGG
rnacentral:rRNA from 1 species